AACACAUGCAAGUCGAACGGCAGCACAGUAAGAGCUUGCUCUUACGGGUGGCGAGUGGCGGACGGGUGAGGAAUACAUCGGAAUCUACUUUUUCGUGGGGGAUAACGUAGGGAAACUUACGCUAAUACCGCAUACGCCCUACGGGGGAAAGCCGGGGACCUUCGGGCCUGGCGCGGAUAAAUGAGCCGAUGUCCGAUUAGCUAGUUGGCGGGGUAAAGGCCCACCAAGGCGACGAUCGGUAGCUGGUCUGAGAGGAUGAUCAGCCACACUGGAACUGAGACACGGUCCAGACUCCUACGGGAGGCAGCAGUGGGGAAUAUUGGACAAUGGGCGCAAGCCUGAUCCAGCCAUACCGCGUGGGUGAAGAAGGCCUUCGGGUUGUAAAGCCCUUUUGUUGGGAAAGAAAAGCAGCCGGUUAAUACCUGGUUGUUCUGACGGUACCCAAAGAAUAAGCACCG
rnacentral:rRNA from 1 species